UACGUAGGGGGCAAGCGUUGUCCGGAUUUAUUGGGCGUAAAGAGCUCGUAGGCGGCUUGGCAAGUCGGGUGUGAAAACUUCAGGCUCAACCUGGAGCGGCCACUCGAUACUGCUAUGGCUUGAGUCCGGUAGGGGACCACGGAAUUCCUGGUGUAGCGGUGAAAUGCGCAGAUAUCAGGAGGAACACCAGUGGCGAAGGCGGUGGUCUGGGCCGGAACUGACGCUGAGACGCGAAAGCGUGGGGAGCAAACAGG
rnacentral:rRNA from 1 species